rnacentral:rRNA from 1 species
GAUGAACGCUGGCGGCGUGCCUAAUACAUGCAAGUCGAGCGAACAGAUGAGGAGCUUGCUCCUCUGACGUUAGCGGCGGACGGGUGAGUAACACGUGGAUAACCUACCUAUAAGACUGGGAUAACUUCGGGAAACCGGAGCUAAUACCGGAUAAUAUAUUGAACCGCAUGGUUCAAUAGUGAAAGACGGUUUUGCUGUCACUUAUAGACGGAUCCGCGCCGCAUUAGCUAGUUGGUAAGGUAACGGCUUACCAAGGCGACGAUGCGUAGCCGACCUGAGAGGGUGAUCGGCCACACUGGAACUGAGACACGGUCCAGACUCCUACGGGAGGCAGCAGUAGGGAAUCUUCCGCAAAGGGCGAAAGCCUGACGGAGCAACGCCGCGUGAGUGAUGAAGGUCUUCGGAUCGUAAAACUCUGUUAUUAGGGAAGAACAAAUGUGUAAGUAACUAUGCACGUCUUGACGGUACCUAAUCAGAAAGCCACGGCUAACUACGUG